rnacentral:rRNA from 1 species
UACGUAGGGUGCAAGCGUUGUCCGGAAUCAUUGGGCGUAAAGCGCGCGUAGGUGGUCAUGUAAGUCCGCUGUGAAAGUCAAAGGCUCAACCUUUGAAAGCCGGUGGAUACUGCAUGACUAGAGUACGGAAGAGGCGAGUGGAAUUCCUGGUGUAGCGGUGGAAUGCGCAGAUAUCAGGAGGAACACCGGUGGCGAAGGCGGGUCUCUGGGCAGUAACUGACGCUGAGGAGCGAAAGCGUGGGGAGCGAACAGGA